UACGGAGGGUGCAAGCGUUAUCCGGAUUUACUGGGCGUAAAGGGCGCGUAGGCGGCAUGACAAGUCACUUGUGAAAUCUCCGGGCUUAACUCGGAACGGCCAAGUGAAACUGUCAAGCUAGAGUGCGGAAGGGGCAAUCGGAAUUCUUGGUGUAGCGGUGAAAUGCGUAGAUAUCAAGAGGAACACCUGAGGUGAAGACGGGUUGCUGGGCCGACACUGACGCUGAUGCGCGAAAGCCAGGGGAGCAAACGGG
rnacentral:rRNA from 1 species